CCUACGGGAGGCAGCAGUAAGGAAUAUUGGUCAAUGGACGCAAGUCUGAACCAGCCAUGCCGCGUGGAGGAUUAAGGCCCUUGGGUUGUAAACUCCUUUUAUCUGGGAAGCGGUACCAGAGGAAUAAGCACCGGCUAACUCCGUGCCAGCAGCCGCGGUAAUACGGAGGGUGCAAGCGUUAUCCGGAUUCACUGGGUUUAAAGGGUGCGUAGGCGGGCAGGUAAGUCCGUGGUGAAAUCUCUGAGCUUAACUCAGAAACUGCCAUGGAUACUAUUUGUCUUGAAUAUUGUGGAGGUAAGCGGAAUAUGUCAUGUAGCGGUGAAAUGCUUAGAUAUGACAUAGAACACCAAUUGCGAAGGCAGCUUACUACACGUAUUGACGCUGAGGCACGAAAGCGUGGGGAUCAAACAGGAUUAGAUACCCUUGUAGUC
rnacentral:rRNA from 1 species